GAGUUUGAUCAUGGCUCAGAUUGAACGCUGGCGGCAUGCCUUACACAUGCAAGUCGAACGGUAACGCGGAGCAAUCUGGCGACGAGUGGCGAACGGGUGAGUAAUAUAUCGGAACAUACCCUGGAGUGGGGGAUAACGUAGCGAAAGUUACGCUAAUACCGCAUACGAUCUGAGGAUGAAAGUGGGGGAUCGCAAGACCUCAUGCUCAUGGAGUGGCCGAUAUCUGAUUAGCUAGUUGGUAGGGUAAAAGCCUACCAAGGCGACGAUCAGUAGCUGGUUUGAGAGAACGACCAGCCACACUGGAACUGAGACACGGUCCAGACUCCUACGGGAGGCAGCAGUGGGGAAUUUUGGACAAUGGGGGCAACCCUGAUCCAGCAAUGCCGCGUGAGUGAAGAAGGCCUUCGGGUUGUAAAGCUCUUUUGUCAGGGAAGAAAAGGUAGCCUCUAAUACAGGCUGCUCAUGACGGUACCUGAAGAAUAAGCACCGGCUAACUACGUGCCAGCAGCCGCGGUAAUACGUAGGGUGCAAGCGUUAAUCGGAAUUACUGGGCGUAAAGCGUGCGCAGGCGGUUAUAUAAGUCAGAUGUGAAAUCCCUGGGCUCAACCUAGGAACUGCAUUUGAGACUGUAUGGCUAGAGUGUGUCAG
rnacentral:rRNA from 1 species